AUUCCAUGAUGGGGACAUUCUAGGAUGUAGUCUUAGAAGCGCUCACAUGCUUCUGGAACGGAUUCAUCAUGUUGUUGCUGAAAACUUGUAAUCUUCCCACGGAGAGC
rfam:Sorghum bicolor cultivar BTx623 chromosome 10, whole genome shotgun sequence.